GAUGAACGCUGGCGGCGUGCCUAAUACAUGCAAGUCGAGCGAACAGACGAGGAGCUUCUCCUCUGACGUUAGCGGCGGACGGGUGAGUAACACGUGGAUAACCUACCUAUAAGACUGGGAUAACUUCGGGAAACCGGAGCUAAUACCGGAUAAUAUAUUGAACCGCAUGUUUCAAUAGUGAAAUACGGUUUUGCUGUCACUUAUAGAUGGAUCCGCGCCGCAUUAGCUAGUUGGUAAGGUAACGGCUUACCAAGGCAACGAUGCGUAGCCGACCUGAGAGGGUGAUCGGCGACACUGGAACUGAGACACGGACCAGACGCCGACGGGAGGCAGCAGUAGGGAAUCUUCCGCAAUGGGCGAAAGCAUGACGGAGCAACGCCGCGUGAGUGAUGAAGGUCUUCGGAUCGUAAAACUCUGUUAUUAGGGAAGAACAAAUGUGUAAGUAAAUAUGCACGUCUUGACGGUACCUAAUCAGAAAGCAACGGCUAACUACGUG
rnacentral:rRNA from 1 species